GCCCGCCUAGCUCAAUCGGAUAGAGCGUCAGACUCUUACAGGCGGGAUCUGAAGGCUGCGAGUUCGACCCUCGCGGUGGGCU